rnacentral:rRNA from 1 species
GAUGAACGCUGGCGGUAUGCUUUACACAUGCAAGUCGAACGCAAGUCUAACUUGAGUGGCGGACGGGUGAGUAACACGUGAGAAUUCGCCUUUAGGAGGGGAAUAACUAUUGGAAACGAUAGCUAAUACCCCAUAUGCUCAUAUGAGUGAAAAGAAUUUUUCUACCUGAAGAGAAGCUCGCGGCUGAUUAGCUAGUUGGUAAGGUAAUGGCUUACCAAGGCGACGAUCAGUAGUUGGUUUGAGAGAAUGAUCAGCCACACUGGGACUGAGACACGGCCCAGACUCCUACGGGAGGCAGCAGUGGGGAAUAUUGGACAAUGGGCGAAAGCCUGAUCCAGCAAUGCCGCGUGUGUGAAGAAGGCCCUUGGGUUGUAAAGCUCUUUCGUCGGGGAAGAAAAUGACUGUACCCGAAUAAGAAGGUCCGGCUAACUUCGUG